UAGCCUAGUGGUUAAGGCUAUGGAUCGCCAAUCCUGAGACAGCGGGUUCGAUUCCCGU
rnacentral:tRNA from 1 species